CUGCCUUCCAAAGCCUUGCAGAUUCUGGUUCCUGCUUAGCCUGCAGUCUGCUCUUAUCACCUUCCAUUUAGAUCUUGAGCCACAUUCUCACUCAUCUACAGGCUUCCAUAGAGUUCCUUACUGUUUUCCCCUCCCUGCCUAGUCUUGUCUACUCCUCAAGGUUAAAGCCAUUUACUGCAGGGGUACACCCAGGAAGGUGGAGGACUGUCCAGUAUUCUUCCUGCAUGACUUCAUCCCACCAGGUUGUGUCACCUGCUGUGGGAGGGCCUUGUUCACUGCCAUCUCCCCUGUGCUCAGUAUAUGCCUUAUACCUAAUAGGUGCCCAGUAAAUAUCUGUCAGAAGAAUAGUUGACCUAGACAGAGAAGUUUGUGCCAAGUACAUAUGUGCUAAGCAUAUUGCCUGCAUUAACCCAGUUAACAAAAGUAAGAUCAGGGAGACUUUUUAGAAGAUGGUUUUGGCAAAGCCCUGGGGAAGUUGUCUUCAACUAGGGUGAGAGUGAUGAAAGACAGUAGGUAGAUUUGAGCUACCUGUGCAGCCCAGAGUCCACAGAGCUUGCUGGUAGUUUGGAUGAGAGCUGAGUGGGCAGGAGUCAGCAAAAGGAGUGAAGGAACUGUUUGGCUGUCUGCCUCAACGACUGCUGGGGCAACUGCUGCUUACUGAGAAGGUGACAAAGGGCAGUGUUGAUGAAUAAGUGUGUGUGUG
rnacentral:lncRNA from 1 species